rnacentral:rRNA from 1 species
UACGUAGGGUGCGAGCGUUAAUCGGAAUUACUGGGCGUAAAGCGUGCGCAGGCGGUCCGCAAAGUCUGAUGUGAAAGCCCCGGGCUCAACCUGGAAACUGCAUUGGAAACUAACGGGCUCGAGUGUGGCAGAGGGGGGUGGAAUUCCACGUGUAGUGGUGGAAUGCGUAGAUAUCGGGAGGAACACCAGUGGCGAAAGCGGCUACCUGGCCCAUUCUUGACGCUGAGGCGCGAAAGCUAGGGGAGCAAACGGG